GAUAGUAUUUUUCUUUCUUGAAAUCUCUACUUUCUGAUUUUAUCAAAAAAUAUAUGCAUUACUACGGAUAGAUUUCUCAGGAAAUACAAAGGCCUCACUUAACCAGCUUUAAUCUCACAUUACAUUACGUCAGAGAAUGUCCUUAGAAGCAGGGAAGCAGUAGAGGCACGGCUGCCUGAAAGCGGCUGAUAUAUAAUGGAUUCCAGGCCACAAGGGAGUUCCGGGAAACGAAACUGCUGAUGAAAUCCAUCGGGCGACCGAACAAGUACAGGGAAUACGAAGUCACCGUGCCCAGCACUAUCUAUACCUCAACCUCAACCUUAAGUAUCUUGAAGCUUCGGAGAUCAAGGAACUAGGCGAAGUAUCAAACACAAAAAUUGCGACCUACAUUUUGCCCGCCAAUUGGACACUUCAAUUGCAACACAAAACCAAUAACAGAAUUUGUUACACGAAUUCUAUCAAUAAUCCUCAAAUCAUACAUAUUUGAGCACAGUUAUAUAAGUAAAUUUUCAAUGACAUCAAUCUUUAAGCAUACCAGCAUGAACCAAUCACCUUUGACAACUGAGCCAAUAGCACACAAUCAAUUUUAGCAUAAAGUGUCUUUG